rnacentral:rRNA from 1 species
CACGUAGGGUGCGAGCGUUGUCCUGAAUUAUUGGGCGUAAAGCGCUCGUAGGCGGUGUGUCGCGUCGGCCGUGAAAACCUGCAGCUUAACUGUGGGCGUGCGGUCGAUACGGGCAUCACUGGAGUUCGGCAGGGGAGACUGGAAUUCCUGGUGUAGCGGUGAAAUGCGCAGAUAUCAGGAGGAACACCGGUGGCGAAGGCGGGUCUCUGGGCCGAUACUGACGCUGAGGAGCGAAAGCGUGGGGAGCGAACAGG